ACAGAGGUGAAAAUACUUGCUUUAAAGGAUUGUAAUGUUUCCUUUUAAAAUAAGUCUCUAAGGUCAGACAAAGGGACAGAAACUCAUAGCUUUCUACCAGCCCAAUGACAAAACUAUAAGUUGUUUUUUAACAUCUACUUUUUCAUCUAUUUGGCAGUCACAGUGAAAAGUAUAAACAUUGGCACGCUUUGUCUUGUGAUUCUGCUGUUCGUAAAAAAUGACCAUGCGCAAAGUACCAGACUUUAAGGCUUUGACUUGAUGCCAAUGGCCUGAGGAGGACAGUAUUACCCUUGGACAUGUGUAGUCUGCCGUCUACUCAAUAGAAGAAGAAGAAGCGCGGAAAUGGCACAACUGUCUUCAGUUUCUGGGAGAGUUUAACAAUGAGAGACUGAUGAUGCAGAAGAAAUCUCCGUGGUUAAAAACAUUAAAAACAGUCGUCCAGGAUGAUGAGAUCCGCCACUGGCUCAGACUGCUGUAUAUCAGCCGGAGACCCGAGAUGAAGUCACGCAGCAGUCCCACAUCAACAUGAAGUGUAAGGAGGAGGAAGAUCUGGCUGGCCAGCAGGUCUGGAAGCAGGAGAGGAACUUCAAUCUGGACCAGGAGGACACAGAUCCCCCACAGAUCAAAGAGGAACAGGAGGAACUCUGCAUCAGUCAAGAGGGAGAACAGCUUGUAGUGAAACACGAGGAUGAAGGCAUCGUCGUCUGGAGCGGGGAAGAGCGGCUCAGACAGCUGCAUAACAUCUGGAAACCUGAGAAAGAUUUACAGACCAGCGGUAAAACUGUAAUCGCUUUUCUGAAGUGUUAACAUUAAUAUUAAACCUACAGUUUGUAUCAGUCAGAUCUAUUUAAGGGAGAUUGGUUAUGGCGUCCACCUGAGUGGCAGUGAGACUUCGAGCUCCGACCUCAACGUCCUUUGCCUACGCCCAACAGCGGUUAAAAUCCAAUCUUUUAGCGGCUGCCUCACCGACUUAAGCUUCUGUUCUGAUCUAAACAACCAAGAUGCCGAUCAAACAUAGGUCCAAGCCUAAAACAGCCGGAAAGGAUGGAUCAGACGAUGACCCUAACAACGAACCUGAAACCGAGAAAAUGGAAGGUGCUAGUGCUAGUGCUCAACAGACCGAGGCGAGUGUUUUGGCCGCAAUUCAGUCGUUGAAAGUACAUUUCACUGCUCAACUGCAAGAAGUUAAAAUAUCAAACCAAGAAAUAAAAGAGGCGAUUGGAGUGUUUUCGGAGAGGCUCACCUCCGCAGAAACUCGCAUCAGUAAAGUUGAAGACGACGUCUCUUCCCUCGUAAGUAAAGAGACUUCCCUUCAUAAGAAAAUUCAGGAACUACAGUUAAAGGUGGACGACCUCGAAAAUAGAAGCCGGAGAUCUAAUCUGAGACUCGUCGGAUUGACUGAGAAUACUGAACAAGGAGAAAUUACAAUAUUCUUGCAAACUUUCUUAAUUGAUGUUUUGGGACGAGACGCGCUCCCAUCCCCACCUAUCAUUGAACGAGCACACAGACUACAAGGGCGAAAUACUCCAAAUGGCCCACCCCGUGUGAUCAUCAUGUAAUUUUUGAAUUAUCAAGACAAGAUGAGGGUGAUGAGAGCGGCACGUCUGAAGGGAAAAAUAACGCACAACGGACAUCACAUUAUGUUUUUUCCUGAUCUGUCAACGGAAGUACAGAAACAACGGAAACAAUACAACCAGGUAAAACAACAACUCCGUGAAAUGCAUAUAAACUUCGGACUGAUCUUUCCAGCAAAAAUGAGGAUUCUCCACCAUGACAACAGGCUCCUCUUCCACACACCAGCGGAGGUGGAAGAUUUCAUGCGAAAAGUCCGGCAACAAAACGAGGGAUAAACUUCACGCCCACUCAGAAACGCUACAUCAAAUAUAUGCAACUCUGAUGAACAACUCCAAACCGGACAUAUAACGGCUGCUGGUGUACAGACCUCCACCAGCAAACUGCCUGUAAGGAGGAGGAGUUUGUCGCCAAUCAGCAGGAGAGGAACUCAAGUCUGGACCAGGAGGACCCAGAUCCUCCACAGAUUAAAGAGGAACAGGAGGAACUCUGCACCAGUCAGGAGCUGGAGGAGAUUGUACUGAAGCAGGAGAUCAAUAGUUUUAUGGUGACUUCUAGUUUUGAGGAAAGUGACCUCAGUGAAUCAGAACCAAACGAUGACCAGCUCCUUGCUCUUAACUUUCCUGAACCAGAGCUUGAGGAACAGGAAGAAAACCAGCAUGUGGACUCGGGAUCAACUAGAAAUGCGGAGCUGAAGAAAAGGAGACGUCACAAAAACCGAACAGAUAAGUCUCGGAGUGAAACUGAUACAAGUAAAAAAUCUGUAAGCUGUGACACUUGUGGAAAAACUUUUCAGUGUAAAUCCAACCUGACGAGACACAUGAGAGUUCACACAAGUGAGAAGCCACAUUCUUGUAGCACCUGUGGGAAAAGAUUUAAUAAGAAAUCCGGAUUUGAAAGUCACGUGAGAAUCCACACAGGCGAGAAGCCGUAUUUCUGUAGCACAUGUGGGAAAAGAUUUGGUAAGAAAUCAGGACUAGAAACUCAUUUGAGAAUCCACACCGGUGAGAAAGCGUAUUCUUGCAACGUCUGUAGGAAAGAGUUUAGAGACUUGUCGACUAUGAAAAGUCACAGAAGGAUCCACACAGGUGAGAAACCAUAUAUUUGUAGCUCCUGUGGGGAAAGAUUCAGUUGGAAAUCAGGACUGAAUUUUCAUCUAAGGAUCCACCUGAGUGACAAACCAAAUCACUGCAGCACCCGAGGUAGAAAAUGACCUCAUGCUCCAAGUCACGGUACAUUUCCUGUCCACAGCAGUGAAGGGCACUCUAUGUUGUUUGUUCCAGCCCUGACUUUAUGUUUCUCUAAGUUUGAUAUUUUUUUAUUGGUCUUUAAAGGUGACACAAAUAUUUAUUGAACAUGGAUGCUCUUUUAAUAUUUACCACAGAAACUUGUAUUUCUUCUUCAGUAUAGAAGAAAACAAACAUGAAAAUGAGUUUCAUCACUUGUUCCUUGUAACAACCAUGAUGUGAUUCCUUUUUAUCAGCCAAUAAAUAAGUUUUAAUACACAGGAAUAAAGAUUUUAAAAAAGUUCAAGACAAGUAUACAAUUUUUAUUUAAAUAUGUUUUCUUUGUGAUUUAUGUUAAUGAAGGUUAUACUUCAGCAUGGCUUUGACCUGGUUGUCCUGGUUCUUCUUAGCAACAUGUUGCAAGAUUUGAUUAAAUUUUUGUGACUAAUUUUGUGUAUUGUGUAAUCCCUGCUAAAUAAAAGCAGUUAAAUGUGCUAUAUUGGCUCAUGAUAAGUGUUUAUAUCAUUUUGCCUAAAUGCAAGUAAACUCAAUGUUUGCCAA